rnacentral:rRNA from 1 species
UACGAAGGGGGCUAGCGUUGUUCGGAAUUACUGGGCGUAAAGCGCGCGCAGGCGGUCUUCCAAGUCAGUGGUGAAAGCCCGGAGCUCAACUCCGGAACUGCCAUUGAAACUGUUAGACUUGAGGAUGGGAGAGGUGAGUGGAAUUCCCAGUGUAGAGGUGAAAUUCGUAGAUAUUGGGAAGAACACCGGUGGCGAAGGCGGCUCACUGGCUCAUUACUGACGCUCAGGCGCGAUAGCGUGGGGAUCAAACAGG